rnacentral:rRNA from 1 species
CGCCAGACUCCUACGGGAGGCAGCAGUGGGGAAUAUUGCACAAUGGGGGAAACCCUGAUGCAGCAACGCCGCGUGAGUGAAGAAGUCAUUCGUGAUGUAAAGCUCUAUCAGCAGGGAAGAAAAUGACGGUACCUGAGUAAGAAGCCCCGGCUAACUACGUGCCAGCAGCCGCGGUAAUACGUAGGGGGCAAGCGUUAUCCGGAUUUACUGGGUGUAAAGGGAGCGUAGACGGCCAGACAAGUCUGAAGUGAAAAUCCAGCGCUUAACGUUGGAAGUGCUUUGGAAACUGCCGGGCUAGAGUGCAGGAGGGGCAGGCGGAAUUCCUAGUGUAGCGGUGAAAUGCGUAGAUAUUAGGAGGAACACCAGUGGCGAAGGC